rnacentral:sRNA from 1 species
GGUUAGCACUGUCUGCGUGAGUGAUGGCAGUGGAGCUCUUUUUUUGAUUCCGUUUUUUCGGAAUCAAAAAAAAGCGGGAACGUACAGCACGACCCUCU